ensembl:lncRNA
AUGCACAGGUUCCCAGCUAGGUGGAUGCUACCCCAAGUAUUACUGCUAUACUUCUCGUGGAGGAGGAAAAAAUUGAAAAGGCAGAGCCCCCAGGAAUCAGCACCCAGGAAUUCCAGCAUUCAUUUUAGCACCUGGGCGUAUUACCUACAGCCACUUCAGCAGACACAAGUUCACCCUGCUUCUGUUCCAAAGGAAGCAAGACCAGGAGACUGCACAACAAACUGUAUCACCAAGCCUGAUCAGCUCUGCUGCAAGGCAGACAACCUCACUUAUGAGGAAAGACUAAAGAUUUUCACUGAAAGCUUCAAUGAAGUUGUCAAGAUGUGAUUGGACACCAUGCUAGAAAAUCUCAUCCAAGCUCCCUUUCCCAUGAAGGGUUGGGCAGGGUGAUCCUUUUAAGGUCCCCUCCUACCUGGGCUGUUCUGUGAUUUUGUCAUCCUUCCAAGCACUCUGCCUUUUUCCCAAGGUCACAUGACUCUUGGAUGGCUCAAGGCAGUUCAUUUUGUGUUUGCAUUUGCUGAGUAACAAGAUAGCUUUUACAUGCCAGCAUUAUACCGGGUUAGUAUUAACUCUGAGAGCUGACUCUGCUAUGGGGUUCAGCGAUUCAAAAUGGCUUGGUUUGGUGUCCAAGUCCUCAGUUCCUUCUUCUUUGAAAAUGUAACUCUUUUUGCCCCUCUGGCUGAGAGGCAGAUGGGAUCCCUUCCAUCAUGAAUCACGCUAUCAUCCUUUGCCUUCUACAAAUACUAAUUCUAGAGAUGGGGAAGGAUUUGUGGCACGCACUUUAGUUUCAGAGUUUCUGAAGUCUUGUCCUCCCUGAAUGCACUGCUUUUACACACAGCAGUGUAAAAGUUUUUGCUCUCUAUGAGUUUUUUGAGGACAUUAAACACAAAUUGAGUUGUCUCACAGAAGCUGCAAGCAAAAUAUCACACACAGUAAGUAGGAGUUUGCAGAGAAACGUGUAUCCUGCUAAAAACCCCUCCUAACAAUACACAAACUAUGUUGCUUGGCCUGUUCAGCUAUUUCUGAUAUUUUUCUGAUAUCUCUAUCCAAUAACUUUCUGAAACUCAUCCAUGUACUGUAUAAGAAACAAAAUAAUUUUUGACCCAGUGGAAGAAACACAUGAUUUUUUAAUGAAAAUAGUUCUAACAUGUUUUGCACAUUUUUUUAAUGAAAAUAUUUUAGUCUAUCAUGCCUUCAUACACUAUGGAAAACACUGGGCAAUUGCAUUAUGAAAUCCAAAUACUAACAUGAUAUCUAGGAGAAAAAAAAUCUUCUUAUUGAUUUAGGGGAAAUAUGGAGAGUAAGAUAACAUUUUACUGGAAAAGACUGUCCUCAGCUUUCAGAGCUCAACACAAGAUUCUCAUUUCAGGAACCGCUCUAAAGGUAUAUUUUAAAGAAUUUUAGAAGGAAAAGUAUAGAAAUUGUCCAGAAAGCUUCUCUCUGCAAGAUGACCUUUCAGAAUGGAAAACGGUCAAACAUCUUAAGUAAUGCUGUGAACCACCUUCUGUUUCCACAGGACAUGUUCUCAUUCAGGAAGUCUGAUGCUAAUUACUUUGAAUCAAAGAGCCGGAUGAGCAUAUCCUUCCAGUUUGGGAGAUAUGCAUCUGGUGGUAAGAAGGGAUUCUGCUAAUGCUCAGGUAACUGCUGCAUGGGAAAAUAUUACCACUUAGUCUUCUGUUUAGCAACACUUACUACUCACAUAUGACUCACAAAUAAAUGGAAAAGACAGAAUGACA